rnacentral:lncRNA from 1 species
AGGAAACUACUAGAUUAAUUAAUUAAAUAUUAGAAUCAAUACAAAUAAUUUAAAAUGCAUUACAAUAAAGGAAAAGGUGAGAAUUGGGCCACUUUCUAUUAGACCAUAAGCCGCUGUCCAGACUUUGGGCUUGGUUUUUCAUGGACUUGAUUCAUUUCCGUUCUCGUAUAUCAUAUGUAUAUCAACAUCUCUUUUUUUCUGUGUUUUUCUGUAUACCACUGUGUAAUCAGCAUGUUUGCUUCCACUUUUCAUAUAUACAAUAUAAUGGUGUGUAGCGGCUACUUCCCAAUGUAUAUCAGUUGUAUAUAAGUGCAUACCAUCAUGUAUACUAGUGUUGUCUCAUGUAUAUCAGUUCAAUUUUAGAUUUUUAACUAAACUUGACUCGAUGGAGGUUGGUUUUGACCCAGUGGAAUGUGAGAGAUGAGAGCACGAUGGGUUCGGUGAGGAAAUUCAUGCAUAAAAGGGAUAGGAAAGGAUUAGAUAAAAAUCUUUAUCAACUUAAUCACGUACACAUUAAAUAACCACUUUCCAAGUGAAAUACCAUAGCUCAAUUUAAAUAGUAUAAUAACACUUAUAAUGAAGUCUAGGAAUGGAAGAAAAAUUUGCAUCAUCUAUCAAAUAGGACACCAAAGGAAUACCAUAAAAAGCUAGUAAAACAAUGUCCCGAUAUCAAUAUCAGCAUGAUUAAAGUUGUACGAGUAGCACACCACGGAAAACUAUAACCGCUUAAGGAAGUUUAGAGAAAAGAUUACAAUGAAGAAACCUACAAGAGCAUAACAACAUUUGAAACUACUCCAAUAUUGAAAAUGGAACUCUUCACAAUUUUCUUUUUAAAAAUAAUAGAUAAUAAUAAUAAUAAUUAAGGAAAAAUUUAAGACUAAGGAAUUAUAGAAUCUUCUUAUUGAUAAGAAAUUCAAUUUCAUAGCAUAAGACAAACCAACAAUUCAUUUUAAACUUUUGGUAAAGCUAUAGGAACGACAUAAAGCAAACCCAACAAAUUGCUUAAUCCAUGUUCGACCACUUUUAUAUAAAUAAAUAAAUUAGAUUUACUCUAUAGAAAAAAUUGAAUUAAAACAUCAUGGAACUAACUAAAUUUCACAUUGCCUAACACCCAAUAUGAACAAGAAAAAUAAGGAGAAGAUUUACCUUUUUCGGAUAGGAACUGAGACAAACUAGCUUUAAAUGAACGAAAUUUCAAUCCCGAAUCAUCGGAGUUUUAUUUUUAUUUUUUUUUGUUUUUGAAAUUAAUUUUUCAUUUGCAUUUCUCCUAAGAAUCCUCUCUCCGCCUCUCUCCAAAAAUUUACCCUUAACCUCAUGUAUUUAUAGCGAAAAAUAUUGGUUCGAAAAUAAUCAUUGGAGCCGGGUUCAGAGAUUGAUGGGAGAGAAUAAAAAGUAAUCGGUAAACUGAAAACAUAUCCCCAAAAUUCAAAUUUGAAUUGAUGGCUUCUGAUUUGAAUUACUUUUUAGGGUGAGAAUCACAUAAUCUUGAAUCAAAAGUCAAUAAUGAUGGC